CCUCCAGGUGUUCCCAGGUGUGCCCAGGUGUGCCCAGGUGCCUCCCGGUGUUUUCCAGGAGUUCUCGCGGGCGCUGCCGCUGGCGCAGCUGGAGCUGGAUUUGGUUUUCGGGGGGGCCCUCAGGGAGCUGCUCCCCCCCAUCGCCCGGCGCCUCUUCCCGGGAUACAGCCCCAAGGGCCGGACCGUCCUGAGCUCGGUGGUUCGUUACGACCCCGCCCCCGCCGGCCACGCCCCGUCUGGCCCCGCCCCCACGGCCCCGCCCCGCCCCUCGGCCACCAUCAGCCUCAGUGUGAGCCUGAGCCACGCCCAGGCCGGGGGGUGGCACUUCCCCCGUUACGAGUGCGGGGUCCCGGCCCCGCCCCCCGGGUGGGCUCUGCUGCACCCCGGGCGCCUCACCCACCUCCCCCGGGGGGUCCCCCCCGAACGGGGCCCCCGCUGGGGCCUCGAGGUGCUCCUGGACCCCUGAGGGACCCCCCAAAACGGGGAGGGGCACCCCCAAAUCCGGGAGCCCGAAAUGGGGGGGACCCCGAAAUUUGGGACCUCGGAAAUGGGGGGGACCCCGAAAUUUGGGACCUCAAAAUGGGGGGGACCCCGAAAUUU